GUGUCAUGCAAGAAGGAGGCGGCGGCGGCGGCCGGAGCUGGAGGGGGAGGAGGGGAGGAACCUGAUCCUCGGUAGCGAAGGGCUGGAGGCAAACACCGAGCUCCCCCUGAGCCGCCUGGGAGCAGGGAGGGUUCUGCUACCCUGAGGGGCCCUCCCCGCGGGGCAGAGGGGUUUCCUCAGCAGUGCCCCGGAGCAGGGACCGCGCCAGCCAGCAGAAACAGCUAGUUGUUGUCUGCAGUGAAGAAUAAUUGGAAGCAUGGUGCCUGUUUCUUUUCCUGUGGGAGGAAGUCACAGCAUCUACUUCUGAAUCUGUGCUUGCCUUGAGGAAAAACGGCAUGGCACAGGAAUGUGGACGCUUUCAACCAGAGGAUUCUGUACGACGGUGUCGGCACACAAGGAGUGUUCCACUGACUGACCUCUUUUUGUUUUCAAAUGAAGAGGAGCCAAGAAUAGGACAGCUUGGGAAGCUCAUCCUCGUCUACGGCCAAACGUUGGUUUCUCAUUUCUAGAAGAUGAAAGAUGUGAUGACUCAGGAAAAACUGGAAUCUUAGUAACUGUGGUGGGCAUUGAGCCUUGCCGUCCACAAGAGAAAGCUUGCUGCUCGAGAUGUGAGUCUUCAGAUGUUCCUGCCGCCAUAUCUGACAGCUGCUGCCAAGAUUCCCUGGUGGGAUGGACUCUUAUACCUCAACAACCAGAAGCCCAAGUAAACUCUUCUAUAAAUUGAAUGACUCAUGCUUAAAAAAAAAAACAAAAAACAAA
rnacentral:lncRNA from 1 species